ensembl:lncRNA
AGUGUUUUAUUAGUCAAAGCAAAAGAGGAAGCAGGACUAAUUAGAGUUGGCAUUGAUUAAUGAAAGGAAGUGUACCAAUUCAUCAGAAGCAGCCUCUUGUGUGAAGAAUGAGCAUUUGGAUUCUUAGGUAAAAAGAUGACAUUAGCAAUGUAUGGAGAAAACGUUUUACUUUUUACAAAUGAUAGAGAAAUUUUUCACAUGCUGCUUUGGAGAAACUGGAUAAGGCCUCAGGCAGAACGGAGAAGCUUAGUAGCGCAGGUGUACAGCAUCCUGGUGAUUUGAGUCAUUGGCAACUAGUUAAUUUAUCUUUCCAGGUGAUUUCCCUCAUGUAGCAUUUUUCUCUACAGGCUUUUGACAGAUGCCGAAUAACAGUCCAUUCACACAUGGACUCUUCUCGAGAGCAUAGGCAGGCAGGAUUUUCCACAGUCUCUCUGCUGUUGGGUGAUGGUAUAGAUUGGAUGGAUGAAUACGGAGAGAAACACAGUCUUGAGAUCUAGUGGAUGAAAGUGAAAUUUUCAGACAUGUAAGAAGGCCUUUGUUAAAGUGAAUUUUGAGUACCAAGUAGCUUUUGGACUUAUCUAACAUUGGCAGUGAAUUUUGGGUUCUCCUUCACUAUGCAGAGUUGCUAUCCAUUUUAAAUAGGUGACUAAGAAGAUGCCGCAAGAAAGCAUUUGGAGUUCCCAUCAUGGCUCAGCGGAAACAAAUCUGACUAGCAUCCAUGAGGAUGCAGGUUCAAUCCCCGGCCUUGCUCAGUGGGUUAAGGAUCUGGUGUUGCUGUGAGCUGUGGUGUAGGUUACUGAUGUGGCUCGGAUCCCGCAUUGCUGUGGUGGCUGUGGUGCAGGCCGGCAGCUGCAGCUCUGAUUCAACCCCUAGCCUGGGAACGUCCAUAUGCCACCGAUUCAGCCCUGGAAAAGCCAAAAAAAUUUUUUUUUGGCCUUGGCGUUCUGAGUUUUGAAGCUCACAGUGACACUGACGGUCAUGCUGCAUUAAGGUUUACAAGUUCGUAGGGGUAGUAAAGAUAGCGCUGAACAGAGCUUAUGUAUAGAAGGUGCUUGGAUUUGUUGAGUGGAUCAAUUAGUUGAUAUUACUUUUUAAAGGCCUUAGAAGCCAAAGCAGUUUUAUGGAAAAUAAUAUUGCUUGUCUAUUAAGGCCUUUGAAAAGAUGAUUACUAUUCUGAUUUUGGACAGAUCUGCGCCUGGUCCUUCAUGAGUGAGGUACAUAUGACUAGUGCAUGGAAACAUUGUCUGCGGAGAAAAGGGUUAAUUUCCCAGAAGAGAAUUGCCAUCAAAUGGGGAGUUUUACUGGUAUUGUAGGCUUUCCCAUUGCUGAAGCUGGCGAACGCUGUUAGUUAUUGUGGUUGUUCUUUUUUAGGUGACAACUCACACAUCUGCAAUGAGAUAGGAAUUUAGAAAACAUUUUUUGAAAUUCUUUGGGGGAUUAGAACGUGCCAGCAAACCAGUUCAGAAUUUUAAAAAUAAUGUAUCGAAAGAACUCAUAUAAUGAGAGAAGGAGCUGAUUUUAAGAACCAAUCUUUGACAUGAUGUAAAAAGGUUCUUUGAUUAAGGAGUUAGAUCAGUGACCUUAUUUGAAGGGAAAGAAAAGGCAGUAGACCUAGGUAAGACUUUCUGAGAUAUUUUGAGAUUCCAGGGUUUCUGUUUUCCUUCCAUUGGUGACAGUCGAGGAGGGCGGGUUGGACGGGAUGAACCCAGAGCUUUGAACAGCCUCUCCUCUCGCACACCCUGCUGCACACCCAUCGCUGGCAGUAGCUCUGAUUAGUGGUAUUUUGAGCUUUUCCUCUUUUUGCACAAUACGGCAUUACUAUUUUAUCAUAGCAUUUUAAGGAUGUUUAAGAGCAGGUCUUUGGUGUCAGAGAAACCGCAGGGUUCAAAUUCUGAUGCCUUCAGUUGAUAGCUGAGGAGCACGGGGCGUCUGGCAACCUUUCUGAGUCAGCUGUCCCAUCUCUACACUGGUCGUAAUCAAGGUAUCUGCUGCUUGAGGUUGUGAGGAGAGAAAGUGAGUUUUUUAAAACACCUAGCCCAGUUCUAGCACCUAGUUACCAUUUGAUAACAUUUAGCUGACAUUUUGCUUCAAGUAGAGGCAGUUUUGCUCUAAAAGUUGAUUUGAUCCUGUUGUGAUCCCCCCCCCAAAUUAUGCACGGUGAGGUGUAUGCUCAGCUUUAUAAUGGAAGAUGAAAAAGGGAAGAGGGUUGGAGAAGCAUAUUUCGUAUUUCACAGCACGCGUUUUCUGUGAGGAUUGUCUGCACUCAUUCAAAUGGUCCUCUCUCUUAGUUGGGUCUCUGAGGAACGAUACCGAGCAUAAUAGUGCCUUAAAUGUUGCUCUCUUCCCUCAGGAGCCAUCCUUCUUCUCUUACGUAUAAGUGAAUGCAUUGUCCUUGAGUCUCUUUGAACCACCAUAAACUUUUUCUGUAUGUGUCGUACGUAUUUGAUGUCAUCCAGCGGUUCCUGUUCUUUGGAGAUUCCUGAUGUAACAAAAGAUAGGACUCUUCCGCCCAGAAAAAUGUGCAUGUGCGUAUUCAUAAUUUUAUAUACGGUUAUGGGAGGUCUGGGACCCCUGCCGGACCCCGUCCAUAGGGUAUAGCUACUCAAAUAAGGACAAGUGAUAGAUUAACUAAGGAACAGCAGAAAUUCAGAUGAUCGAGGCAGAUAUGGUUGGUGGAAUGAACGAACAGUGUAAAAUGGUGGUGGUGGAGAGGUCUGUUCUGGAGUUCCCUAGUGGCCUAGUGGUUAAGGAUUUGGUGUUGUCACUGCUCUGGCUCCUGUUUGAUCCUUGGCCCUGGAACUUCUGCAUGCGGGGGCUCCCCCACUCCCCCGAUGAAAAACACAAAGAAACCUGUUUGGUGUUUUAGUUUGGCUUUACUUCUAAAUAACGAGCUGUGUGUUGAGAGCAAGUCACCCUGGCCUUUCUAGGCUUAGUUGUGGUUUUCUCUCCUUUAAAAUGAGAACACGUGUGAGUCUCCAUUGUUUUUAUUUUUUUUGUCUUUUUGCUAUUUCUUGGGCCACUCCCGCAGCAUAUGGAGGUUCCAAGGCUAGGGGUCAAAUUGGAGCUGCAGCCUCCGGCCUACGCCAGAGCCACAGCAACGUGGGAUCCGAGCCACAUCUGCGACCUACACCACAGCUCAGGGCAACGCCAGAUCGUCAACCCACUGAGCAAGGGCAGGGACCGAACCCGCAACCUCAUGGUUCCUGGUCGGAUUCGUUAACCACUGCGUCACAACGGGGACUCCAUCCGUUGUUUCUUAUAGUUAGUAAUCUUCGAGGCGCCCAUAUAACUCAGGGACUUCAUUUCAGACCGACUCUACACUGGAAAGCUCUAAACCUGGAAAAGAGAAUGCAUUUGUUGAGCAUUAAGGUUUGUAUGUAGCGACUCCUCAGACCUAGGUGAUGGAAUCAUGAGAUGUUGUGAGCAUAAAAUGGAAAUGUAAGAUGAAAACCAUGGGAAGCAGGCCUUGAGAAGUAGGUGAAGUCGGAAUGUGCCUUGAAAGGAUGGCAGAAACCUUUCAGAGACGGUGGAGUCUUUUCAUCGUCUGUCUCUGCGUCUAGUGCAGCUUAGUAAGUGAUUGUUAGUGAAUGACAGUCUGACAGGAACUGUUGAAAGCUUUUGAUCUGAUGGGUGUGAUAAGGAGCACGCAACCCAUUGAGAGGCCUCAUGAGCAAAAGAGUGUCUAACAGGCACCCAAGUAUUUUAGUUGUAAAGUUUAUUAUGUUUUAUACAUAAUACUGUACUGGAUUACCUGUCUUUUUCCAGGGUCUUGUAUAUUGUAUAGCUGGAC